rnacentral:rRNA from 1 species
UACAGAGGGUGCGAGCGUUAAUCGGAAUUACUGGGCGUAAAGCGCGCGUAGGCGGCUUUGCAAGUCGGGUGUGAAAUCCCCAGGCUUAACCUGGGAACUGCAUUCGAGACUGCAUUGCUAGAGUAUGGGAGAGGGAAGUGGAAUUUCCGGUGUAGCGGUGAAAUGCGUAGAUAUCGGAAGGAACAUCAGUGGCGAAAGCGGGUCUCUGGACAGUUCCUGACGCUGAGGCACGAAGGCCAGGGGAGCAAACGGG